AAAUUUUUGAUUUGAAUUAUAUAUAAUAGCACUGAAACAACGCUAAAAUAGAAAAUCACCAAAUAGAAAGCUAAAAUCACUCGUUCCGCCAAUACUUAGGCGAAAUAAUUCACUUAAGCGCCAUAUGUUUUAGAUCCAAAAACUUAAAACGCCAAAGUCCAAAAAUUAAAACCCUUCACUUUACCACAAAAUAAAACAUAUCUCAAAAAAAAAAAAUCCCAAGUCGAAGAAAGAGAUUUGUUGGAUCUGAGACAUAGCGUGAAGCUCGUCGCCGGCCUCCACAGUGAAGCUCGUCGUCACGACGGAACACAGUAAAGGAGUUUGGUGAGAGCUGGAGCAGAUUCAACCCAUGGAUCUGGUGGUUGGUAAGUGACGGCAAUUACUGUGAAUAUGAGAACUGUGAAGACGAAGACUGAGAAAGAGUGAACACAUGGUCGUAGUAAUUACGGGGUAAUGAAGCUCCAAACUUGAGGUUCUGAAUUCUUACCUCUUGAUAUAUAGCAAAACUGGUGGAUGAAUCUUUUGACGCUAGAGAAAUGGAGUAUGUGCGUUUAAUAUCCGCUGUUUGUUGGAUAUAUGGUGAGAUCACAUUUGUUUCGAAAUUAUUUUCUUUUGGUAAGUUGUGAAGCAGAGAGAGAUGGAAUCCUGGAGUCUCUAGAAGUGACGUAGUCAAGGUUCUCUCCUUCUUUGUUUCUUCCUUUGCCUCAGUCAGUCUGGAGCUUUCAAGUUGUCAAAAGAUGGUUUUCUAUUGCUCCAAUUUGCUCCUUCUGCUGGUGUACAACAAUAUAAUUGGGCAAGAAACAAGUUUGGUUUUAUCUCUUAACUUCAUAUGGUCCAUUAAGCUCUAACUUUGUUAAGACCAUCUCACUGGAUUUGGUGUUAAAAGACAGUCUUUUUCUGGUCACUUAUUCAGCCUAAGUAAGUAAAUAUAAUCUUCUUCUUGAUUCUUGUCAAAAUGGUUUAAACAUUGUCUCUAACAGUUUCGAUCUCCGUAUAUAUAUUAGGUGUGAUUGAAUUACUUACUCGGAUCAUGUUAUUUUUCAGGUUGCACUUGAUUCGCCUCCAAGCUUCUGUUUGUGCUCUCUUGUCCUAUGCUACUGUUGUUGUUGCUGCAGCUUCUGUCUCUUCUCCUAUGCUACUGUUUUUGUUGCUGCAGCUUCUGCAAAAGAGAUCUCAGACAACCAACGACAAAGAAAAGAACCAAGCUAUAGAGGAUUUGGAGAUGGCAGUGAAGUGUGGACAUCAACCUAAGUUCUUGGAGGGAGAGAAAGAGCAAAUCAAUGGAGUUCUUCGUUUAGUCCAUAUGAAUUACAAUACUUUUCUUGUUUAAGACCUUGUUUUAAAUGGUGUUGAAUACUAAACUAUGUAUCUUUUGAUGAUCUAUGGAAAGAAACAUGCUUUUAAUAAAUUGGUUUUGUAGCAUAUAA